GACGAACGCUGGCGGCGUGCCUAAUACAUGCAAGUCGAACGCUUCUUUCCUCCCGAGUGCUUGCACUCAAUUGGAAAGAGGAGUGGCGGCCGGGUGAGUAACACGUUGGUAACCUACCCAUCAGAGGGGGAUAACACUUGGAAACAGGUGCUAAUACCGCCUAACAGUUUAUGCCGCAUGGCAUAUUACUGAUAGUCGCUUUCGGGUGUCGUUGAUGGCUGGAUCCGCGGUGCAUUAGGUAGUUGGUGGGGUACCGGUUCACCAAGGCGACGAUGCAUAGCCGACCUGAGAGGGGGAGCGGCCACACGGGGGCUGGGGCGCGGCCCAGAAUCGAACGGGAGGCAGGAGUAGGAAGUGUGCGGGAAGGGGCGAAAGUUGGACCAAGGAACGCCGCGUGAGGGAAGAAGGUUGUCGGAGCGUAAAACUCUGUUGUGAGAGAAGAACAAGGACGUUAGUAAGUGAACGUCCCUGGACGGUAUCUAAGAAGAAGGCCAGGGCAAACUAGGU
rnacentral:rRNA from 1 species